GACGAACGCUGGCGGCGUGCUUAACACAUGCAAGUCGAGCGGUAAGGCCCUUUCGGGGGUACACGAGCGGCGAACGGGUGAGUAACACGUGGGUGACCUGCCCUCAGCUCUGGGAUAAGCCUGGGAAAACCGGGUCUAAUACUGGAUAUGACUCCAUGACGCAUGUUGUGGGGUGAAAGCCUUGUGCGGCUGAGGAUGGGCCCGCGGCCUAUCAG
rnacentral:rRNA from 1 species